UGGGGAAUUUUGGACAAUGGGCGCAAGCCUGAUCCAGCCAUGCCGCGUGAGUGAAGAAGGCCUUCGGGUUGUAAAGCUCUUUCGGACGGAAAGAAAUCCUAUCCGCUAAUACCGGGUGGGGAUGACGGUACCGUAAGAAGAAGCACCGGCUAACUACGUG
rnacentral:rRNA from 1 species